CAGAUUUAUUAUUAUCUCCAGAUGGACUGUUCUGCCUCUUCCCUCAAAACUUUCUCAUGUUACGAGUGACAAUGUGGCCUUAGAAUCUGCAUGUUUGGAAAGUUGGACUGGCAAAAACAACCCCAAAAAACCAAAAGAAAGAGCUCCAAACAUUUAUUCUCAUCAGACCAGCUUGCUGAACCUAUUUGCUUUCCAGGAGGAAGCCAAAAGCUGUACACAAGGUGAUUCUGCUGAGCACAGGAAGAAUGGUGAGAAAUACAGCAGCCCUGGGUGAGAGCACUGAGCUGUGGCACUGGUGA
rnacentral:lncRNA from 1 species